rnacentral:misc_RNA from 1 species
GAUGAAGAACGUAGCGAAAUGCGAUACGUAAUGUGAAUUGCAGAAUUCAGUGAAUCAUCGAAUCUUUGAACGCAUAUUGCGCUCUUUGGUAUUCCGAAGAGCAUGCUUGUUUGAGUAUCAGUAAACACCUCAAAGACUUCAAUUUGUUUUGAAUGGCUUUGGACUUGAGCAAUCCCAACACCAGUCUUUACGAUCGGUGGAGGGUUGCUUGAAAUGCAGGUGCAGCUGGACAUUCUCCUGAGCUAAAAGCAUAUUCAUUUAGUCCCGUCAAACGGAUUAUUACUUUUGCUGCAGCUAACAUAAAGGGAGUUUGACCGUAUUGGCUGACUGAUGCAGGAUUUCACAAGGGUCGGCAACGAUUCUUGUUAAACUCGAUCUCAAAUCAAGUAAGACUACCCGCUGAACUUAAGCAUAUCAAUAAGCGGAGGA